GACGAACGCUGGCGGCGCGCCUAACACAUGCAAAUCGAACGAGCGAGAGAGAGCUUGCUUUCUUGAGCGAGUGGCGAACGGGUGAGUAACGCGUGAGGAACCUGCCUCAAAGAGGGGGACAACAGUUGGAAACGACUGCUAAUACCGCAUAAGCCCACGGUGCCGCAUGGCACAGAGGGAAAAGGAGCAAUCCGCUUUGAGAUGGCCUCGCGUCCGAUUAGCUAGUUGGUGAGGUAACGGCCCACCAAGGCGACGAUCGGUAGCCGGACUGAGAGGUUGAACGGCCACAUUGGGACUGAGACACGGCCCAGACUCCUACGGGAGGCAGCAGUGGGGAAUAUUGCACAAUGGGGGAAACCCUGAUGCAGCGACGCCGCGUGGAGGAAGAAGGUCUUCGGAUUGUAAACUCCUGUUGUUGGGGAAGAUAAUGACGGUACCCAACAAGGAAGUGACGGCUAACUACGUG
rnacentral:rRNA from 1 species